GCCUUGUUAGCUCAGUUAGGUAGAGCAUCAGACUUUUAAUCUGAGGGUCAGGGGUUCGAUCCCCCUACAAGGCU
rnacentral:tRNA from 1 species